rnacentral:ncRNA from 1 species
AUGUUCAUCAGACCCCAGAAUAGGUGUCUGUUACAGGAUGAGCAAGAUGUUAGUCAUAGAAGUAGAACUCUAUGGAGAUAUAACUACUCACCUGCAAAAUCAGGUGGCUCUGAAAAUGAAUAGCACUGUAGUGUU